rnacentral:rRNA from 1 species
UACAGAGGGUGCGAGCGUUAAUCGGAAUUACUGGGCGUAAAGCGCACGUAGGUGGCGACGUAAGUCGGGUGUGAAAGCCCCGGGCUCAACCUGGGAAUUGCAUUCGAGACUGCAUUGCUGGAGUACGGAAGAGGAGGGCGGAAUUCCCGGUGUAGCGGUGAAAUGCGUAGAUAUCGGGAGGAAUACCAGUGGCGAAGGCGGCUGCCUGGCCUGUUCUUGACGCUGAGGCGCGAAAGCUGGGGGAGCAAACGGG